GCGGCCAUGGCUGAGUGGCGAGGUGCCGGCCUUCCAAGCCCAGGACGCGGGUUCGAAUCCCGCUGGCCGCU
rnacentral:tRNA from 1 species